rnacentral:rRNA from 1 species
UACACACCGCCCGUCACACCAUGGGAGUUGGUUCUACCUUAAGCAGGUGCGGCAACCGCAAGGGGCUAGCUUGCCACGGUAGGGUCAGUGACUGGGGUG